GAUGAACGCUGGCGGCGUGCCUAAUACAUGCAAGUCGAACGCGAGCACUUGUGCUCGAGUGGCGAACGGGUGAGUAAUACAUAAGUAACCUGCCCUAGACAGGGGGAUAACUAUUGGAAACGAUAGCUAAGACCGCAUAGGUACGGACACUGCAUGGUGACCGUAUUAAAAGUGCCUCAAAGCACUGGUAGAGGAUGGACUUAUGGCGCAUUAGCUGGUUGGCGGGGUAACGGCCCACCAAGGCGACGCUGCGUAGCCGACCUGAGAGGGUGACCGGCCACACUGGGACUGAGACACGGCCCAGACUCCUACGGGAGGCAGCAGUAGGGAAUUUUCGGCAAUGGGGGAAACCCUGACCGAGCAACGCCGCGUGAAGGAAGAAGGUUUUCGGAUUGUAAACUUCUGUUAUAAAGGAAGAACGGCGGCUACAGGAAAUGGUAGCCGAGUGACGGUACUUUAUUAGAAAGCCACGGCUAACUACGUGCCAGCCGCCGCCGUAA
rnacentral:rRNA from 1 species